UUUUUCAUUCAGCAGGAUGUGUGACAUGCUUUCCACAGAAACCUCUCACCCCCUUGCUGAAUUUAUCUUCUUUCUUGACAACCAUUGUCGACAAUGGAUUGACAUGGAGAGAAUAUACAUUAAGGUAAAGAGUAUGCAUAAGCUUGCUUCCACAUCUUUCUCAGUCUCUCGCUCUAUUUCUUCUGAUUAGCUUAUUGGUGAAUUCUGAAGCUUUCUUGAUUGGAUCAGUGGUCGAGACGAUAGAGAGCCUUGCAUUGGAGACCACAAAGAGGCGUACCUAUAAAAUCUGUGUCUAUACAUUACUGAUUACUCCCUGGGCUCUUUGAAUAUUUCCUCCAUCCCUAAGUGUUGAUUAAGAGACAUACUUCUUGCUUCUCUUUGCUUAAUUAAUAACCAUUUCCAGCUUUUUGUAGAUAUCCAAAGGAAUCAGACAAAAUCAUGCUUGCGAAGCAGACUUCCUCAGGGUGAUUAAGUUGCUUAACUAGACAAUAAGAGUGGUGCUCGAGUAUAUGAAUGAUCCAAAGGAACAUGGAAAGAAGAGAGGAAAUAAUCUUCUUGCUUCUGUGCAAGUGAUUGGAAGGGAGUUUUGAGUACUCCUUAUGGAAGAACAUUGAUAGUCUCUGUCACUUCAGCUUUCACUGAACAUUGAUAAUCCAGGUUCGUUGGCUAAGGAUCCUGUCCAUUUUUUUACUCUAUUACAACGCUGUUACCGUAAUGCCUCCCAGGACAACUUGGUCUUACUUUUUUUACAGCCCUUUUGGGUCCACUUGGUUCUUACAAGUUAAAAUAUUUAGCAAUCGUCAAUAGCAGAGCUGAACAUUUGUUCGAAGUGAUCAACUCGAGAGAUGAUGUGCUUAGGACGUGGAUGAGACGGUGUAUGUAUCUCAGGUAUGUGGAAGCUAGAUUAGCGGAUAGGAUUCUCUAUGCAGAUGAGAUAUUGAAAUAUGGGUUUUGCUUGAAUGUGAUUAAGACUUCUUUAUGUCCUUUGGAAGUUUUGAAGAAUAUGCAGGAGGAGGCUGUGAGGGAUGAUGAUAUUGUCUUCAAGGGUCUACCAUCCACUGAGCCAUUCUAGGUGUUCAAUGGGAUUAGUAAAUACUGUAAGAAGAGGGUUACAACUCCUGGUAUCAUCUCUCUGGCCAAGGGUGUGAAAGCAUAGUUUGAACCUCAUCCUCCGAUUGUUACUCAUGCUUGAAUGAUCUAACGAGCAUAGAGAUUCACCAAAAAUACCAGAUCGCUUGAUUGUGUGUAGUGGUUAGUAAGCAUCAUAGGCCGCUACUGUUUACCCAAUGCAUCCAUGGCUAGCCACCUCUUCUUACUAAGAAGCGUCAGCCCCAAUAAAUGGAAUUGUAAGGUUAGCUUCUUUGUAAGUUUCUCUUCGUGAAUCCAAUCUGAGGAGCGUAGAUAUGGGGAAAAAUAUAGCUCCAGAUGCAGAGCUUCACUUUUAUAUAGGCAAAGACAGAUUUGUGAGAAUAACUCUUUACACCGAAAGGUCGAUUCUUCUGAUGGCUUGCACACGGGUUAAUGGCAUCAACAAGCAAGGAAACAUCACUAUGCUAGAUAAAAAUGGAGGGGAGAAACAUGUGGUGAAUCUUCUGCAGAACAAAAUAAAAAACAGAACCAUCUUAAUGUGGAGCAUCUUUGCCUCACGUCUGUGUAUUCCGUUCGACGUUGGCUAGCAGUGGCGGAAAGUUUUGUUCUAUUACUUGGGUUUUAAGUUAUCAUUUGGCUGCUGGAACAUGAGUUAAAAGAGACAUUGUCAUCUUCUUAUAUCAAAUCCAUGAAAAGACUAUCAGGAUUUACUGUGUUAUGGGUAAUUGUUAUAGCUUUCAAGAAAAUUAUGAGAUAUUGUGUUCAAAUGCAUUUCAAAAUAAGUGAAGAGAUUCUAAGAAAAUGUGCAGUUCUCUUAUUUGGCUUUGGGCACCUUCUGAUUUUUAGGAGUUUCUGCAAAUAGCUGGCGAAAAAAAAGACUCUAGAUGCCAAUUUUCAUGGCAUGAGCAUGACGCACAUCAGUCAUCAAACAUCAUUAUAAGUGGCAUUUCAUAUAUAUUUUGAAAACCCAUUAGAUUCUUUAAUACUGUAAAUAAUAAGUUAGUUUUAAAAAACUCAAAAAUUCUAAAACCAAAAACAAAGCUUGAAAGUUUGAACCAGUUGUUAUUAACGAUGUAUUUUCAUGGAAUUCUAUGAAUAAUUUUAUCUAAUGUCCUUGAAGUACUUCUAAAUAUGAAUGAUGAACUGGAUUAUAAUUCAAAGUUAAAAAAAAUGUUUUAUUACACUCAUUUCAAAUUCGAUAUAGACAUAUUUAUAAUAUGGCGACAAUAUAUAUAUAUAUAUAUUAAAUACAAAAAUAUUUUUCAAAAUCCGGGCGUAGCCCGGAAGAAUCUCUAGUAAACUAUAAUAAGUUUUUAAUUUUCAAACUGCAAAUGGUAAUUAACCGAUAAAGAGCUGUAAACUAAAUUAAUCAUCACUUUAAAGAACGUGUUAAUGUGUAAUCAACGGUAUCAUAUUAUAAAGUUGUGGCCAUGUGUGAUAUAUUCAUAUAUUUAAUGCAUGCCACCAAGCAGAGCGUGAUGCGUCUCUAUCGUUUGUUGGAUCCCACUUGUGUGCCUGCAUUAGAUUGGAUCUAAUAAGAAAAAAAAGAUUAUAGGAUUCGACCAAAAAUAAUAACAAAAAAAUUAUAGGUAAAUAAAAUUGAUAAUACAUAUAUGUAGAGAUCUUGACAAACAAAAAAAUACAUAUAUGUAGAGAUCGAUGCAUUUAUAUUUUUGCAUUUCCAAUUUAUGAAUUAGGUUUAUAAGCAAAAGUCAUCCUGAUGGAACGAUCGAAUCCAAUGCAUAUCCUCCUCUUUACUUUAUGCUUUUCAUGUGCCACACAUUUCAUUAUUAAGAGAACCCUCAAUGGGGGAAGGGGUUCUAACCAAAAAAUACUAAUAUAAAUAUAUACAUCCUUAUAUAUAUAUAUAUAAUUUUUUGAGUGAUGGUUCCAUAUUCGUCAUAGAGAAACUACAACCAAACAAACUUUUAGU